AAGAAGCUUAACAAGAGUAAAAUAGAAGCCACGUGCCAGGGCCGUGCAGGGAGCACCAUAUCACCACUUUGACUCCAAGCAACAUUUGAAGUGUUCCCUGCUAGCAAGACUGGGAGGAAGACACCGGGACCUGUUUCCAAGUCGGUCUUGCACGAGGACAAGGUCAGGUGUGUCUGUGGGACAAAGCGAGCAACAAAGUCCAUAACCCCGAUGGUUUCCAGCUGCGUCGCUGAGAACAGCACAGCUCCCRUGUGCUAGGAAACCCUCCUGUAUUUGAACUGCAGUGGAGAUGGAAAACUGGCAUUCCCUAGAAGAACUGAAGGGUAACGAGACCUA